rnacentral:rRNA from 1 species
ACCUCCCACCCGUGUUUACUGUACCUUAGUUGCUUCGGCGGGCCCGCCAUUCAUGGCCGCCGGGGGCUCUCAGCCCCGGGCCCGCGCCCGCCGGAGACACCACGAACUCUGUCUGAUCUAGUGAAGUCUGAGUUGAUUGUAUCGCAAUCAGUUAAAACUUUCAACAAUGGAUCUCUUGGUUCCGGCAUCGAUGAAGAACGCAGCGAAAUGCGAUAACUAGUGUGAAUUGCAGAAUUCCGUGAAUCAUCGAGUCUUUGAACGCACAUUGCGCCCCCUGGUAUUCCGGGGGGCAUGCCUGUCCGAGCGUCAUUGCUGCCCAUCAAGCACGGCUUGUGUGUUGGGUCGUCGUCCCCUCUCCGGGGGGGACGGGCCCCAAAGGCAGCGGCGGCACCGCGUCCGAUCCUCGAGCGUAUGGGGCUUUGUCACCCGCUCUGUAGGCCCGGCCGGCGCUUGCCGAACGCAAAUCAAUCUUUUUCCAGGUUGACCUCGAAUCAGGUAGGGAUACCCGCUGAACUUAAGCAUAUC